GACGAACGCUGGCGGCGUGCUUAACACAUGCAGGUCGAACGGGAACCUUUAUUUCGGUAAAGGUGAGAGUGGCAAACGGGUGAGUAACACGUAGGCAACCUGCCGACAGGAUGGGGACAACAUUCCGAAAGGAAUGCUAAUACCGAAUGAAGUCACCGGAGGGCAUCCUCUGGUGAUGAAGGAUGGCCUCUGAAUAUGCUAUCACCUGUCGAUGGGCCUGCGUCUGAUUAGCCAGUUGGCGGGGUAACGGCCCACCAAAGCGACGAUCAGUAGCCGGUCUGAGAGGAUGAACGGCCACAUUGGGACUGAGACACGGCCCAGACUCCUACGGGAGGCAGCAGUGGGGAAUCUUCCACAAUGGGCGAAAGCCUGAUGGAGCAACGCCGCGUGAGUGAAGAAGGUCUUCGGAUCGUAAAGCUCUGUUGCACGGGACGAAAACCGG
rnacentral:rRNA from 1 species